GAGACAUUAGUAAAAUAUAAAUAUUACAUCACCUUGUCGAGGUGAAAUUGCUGGUUAAACCCCAGCAUGUCUUA
rnacentral:tRNA from 1 species